rnacentral:rRNA from 1 species
GAUGAACGCUGGCGGCGUGCCUAAUACAUGCAAGUCGAGCGAACAGACGAGGAGCUUGUGCCUCUGACGUUAGCGGCGGACGGGUGAGUAACACGUGGAUCACCUACCUAUAAGACUGGGAUAACUUCGGGAAACGGGAGCUAAUACCGGAUAAUAUAUUGAACCGCAUGGGUCAAUAGUGAAAGACGGCUUUGCUGUCACUUAUCGAUGGAUCUGCGCCGCAUUAGCUAGUUGGUAAGGUAAAGGCUUAUCACGGCAACGAUGCGUAGCCGACCGGAGAGGGUGAUCGGCCACAUGGGAACGGAGACAGGGUCCAGACUCCUACGGGAGGCAGCAGUAGGGAAUCUUCCGCAAUGGGCGAAAGCCUGACGGAGCAACGCCGCGUGAGUGAUGAAGGUCUUCGGAUCGUAAAGCUCUGUUAUGAGGGAAGAACAAAUGUGUAAGUAGCUAUGCACGUCUUGACGGUACCUGAUCAAAAAGCCACGGCUAACUACGUG